rnacentral:misc_RNA from 1 species
GAUAUGAAGAACGUAGCGAAAUGCGAUAAGUAAUGUGAAUUGCAGAAUUCAGUGAAUCAUCGAAUCUUUGAACGCACAUUGCGCCCGUCAGUAUUCUGGCGGGCAUGCCUGUUCGAGCGUCAUUACGCCCCUCAAGUCCCCUGUGGACUUGGUGUUGGGGAUCGGCGAGGCUGGUUUUCCAGCACAGCCGUCCCUUAAAUUAAUUGGCGGUCUCGCCGUGGCCCUCCUCUGCGCAGUAGUAAAACACUCGCAACAGGAGCCCGGCGCGGUCCACUGCCGUAAAACCCCCCAACUUUUUAUAGUUGACCUCGAAUCAGGUAGGACUACCCGCUGAACUUAAGCAUAUCAAUAAGCGGAGGA